rnacentral:rRNA from 1 species
AACGAACGCUGGCGGCAGGCCUAACACAUGCAAGUCGAGCGAAGCCUUCGGGCUUAGCGGCGGACGGGUGAGUAACGCGUGGGAACGUGCCCUUUGGUACGGAAUAGCCCCGGGAAACUGGGAGUAAUACCGUAUGUGGUCGAGAGACGGAAGGUUUAUCGGCAAAGGAUCGGCCCGCGUUGGAUUAGGUAGUUGGUGGGGGAAUGGCCUACCAAGCCGACGAUCCAUAGCUGGUUUGUGAGGAUGAUCAGCCACACUGGGACUGAGACACGGCCCAGACUCCUACGGGAGGCAGCAGUGGGGAAUCUUAGACAAUGGGGGAAACCCUGAUCUAGCCAUGCCGCGUGAUCGAUGAAGGCCUUAGGGUUGUAAAGAUCUUUCAGUGGGGAAGAUAAUGACUGUACCCACAGAAGAAGCCCCGGCUAACUCCGUGCCAGCCGCCGCAGUAACAC